CGUGACGGUGUUCAGAGUGGAGCAGUAUAUGGCCGGCGGAGCGGUGGACAUAGUUCACAAGUGGCAGUUCGUUGGUCCGAAAACCGACAGGAACCUCUUCAUGAGGAUGCUGAUUCAGCCAGUUACGAGGAAUAAGGUGAAGACGGUGAGAGCUUCGGUCGUUGCUCUGUUCUUAGGUAAAGCAGACGACGUCGUUUCGCUUCUUAGUAAGGAGCUUCCCGAGUUGGCUUUAAAGAAGGAGAAUUGUACGGAGAUGACUUGGUUUCAGUCCGCGUUAUGGUGGGACAAUCGCGUUAACGCUACUCAGACCGAUCCCAAAGUGUUUCUUGAUCGGAAUCUUGACUCCUCUAGCUUCGGGAAGAGGAAGUCUGAUUACGUAGCUACCGAGAUUCCUAGAAAUGGGAUUGAGUCUCUGUUCAAGAAGAUGAUCGAGUUAGGAAAGAUCGGGUUAGUUUUCAAUCCUUACGGCGGGAAGAUGGCGGAGAUUGCGGAGGACGCAACGCCGUUCCCGCACCGGAAUAUGCUUUUCAAGAUUCAGUACUCUGUGAACUGGAAAGAGUCGUCUCCGGAGAUAGAGAAGGGUUACUUGAACGAGGCUAAAGAGCUUCACAGUUUCAUGACCAGGUUUGUGAGCAAGAGCCCUAGAAGUGCUUACUUGAACUACCGUGAUGUCGACAUCGGGGUGAACGAUCACGGGAAGAAUAGCUACAAGGAAGGAGAGGUGUAUGGAAGAAUGUAUUUUGGAAAGAACUUUGAUCGAUUAGUCAAGAUUAAAACCAAGGUUGAUCCAAGGAACUUCUUUAGGAAUGAACAGAGUAUACCUACCUUGCCACGCAAGUUUUAAGAUAUAUUGUUUGUCAUUUGUUAUGAAAGAUUGGUUUAACGUUAAUAAUGUAAUGCUUUGGUUAAGCAAUAUAGAAUGCAUUGGUUUUGGAUAUUAAUAUAUUGUAUGGUUUCUCUGUGCCUACAGAUUGAGAGAGAAGUAAUAUAUCAAAAUUGCUGGUGCUGCAAACCAAAUCUUGAACGGGUAGACUGUUAGUUAACUGUGAUUUUGGACAGUGUCUGCGAAGGGACUGGCCUAUUCAACCAUUUCCUGUUGUAUAGGAUCAUGAUCGCAAUACAUCGAUGUAACGGCUACAACAUCGCCGCCAACAAUUGGGGACGACGAAGUCACCAUAUUCAAUCUAAAGUUCAUCUAGUGACAAGGCUAGAAUUGGCUAAAUGGAUAAAAGUUAAUGGAUCUAUUCAAUCCCAUCCAAAUCACUAAUUUUAAUAGAAAUAAAAAUUAGGUACAAAUGGAUUAAUGAAUAAAAUGAUUUAAUAGAUGUAAUAGAUUGGAUUAAAAUGGACAAUGAAUCAUCCAUAAUCAAACCAAUAAAAAUUUAUAACCAACCUAAAUUCAAAACAAAUAUAUAAACAAAAAAUCACCAUACCAAAUUUACAAUACAAACCAAGUUUUAUUUGUUUUUCUCAUAUAUCUAACUCAAUUUUAUCUAACUUAAUUUUUUUCUUAUAUAUAAACAUUAUAUUUGGUUGCUUUCAUAAAUCAAGUCUAACCAUAUUUUCUUCUCAAAACCGUAAAUUCAAGUUUUUUCACAAGAAUCGUAAAAUCAAAAUUUUCACCAUAUUCUGCUAAAACUGUAAAAUCAUGUUUUUUCGCCGAUCAACCGCAAAAUCAUGUACAUGAUUUAUAUUUUAUAUAAUGACCAAGAGGAAGCAACGCUUUUGUUUUUAUCAAGUGAAUACUGAAUGAGUAUAUCUUGUACAAUGUUGUGUGGCUUUUUACUGAAUGAGUAUAUCAUGUACAAUGCUGUGUGAAGAAACAUAUUCAAAAUUAUUAAAAGGAUGUGUUUUUGCGUCUUUUUUGCGGAAAAAUAUAUUUUUGCAUCUUUAACGGAAAAAUACAUUUUUACGGUUUUUACUGAAAGCGUAUUUUUGUGGGUUUGACAAUGAGUAUUCACUUGAUAAAACGGAACAAGUGGGAGUACUAAUUAUAAUGGCUAUUUGAACCUUUUAUUUUUAUCACCUUAUAGUUUUUAUAAUGUCUACAUAAUAAUUUUCUUUAAUAUCUUUAGUAAUUAAGAAAAACCAAACUGUUAAUAAAAAUAAAUUGAUUAUUUUCUAAAUAUUAAACACAUGGUAAAAUAAUGAUAUUAUGUAUUUUAAAAAUAAACAAAAGUGCAUUAUGACAUACAACUCAUCCGUGAAAUCAGGCAACAGCCUCUAAAUUAUUUGAGAUGGCGCUUGACUGGUGCGAAAGCAGGGGAGGUCGGCGAAAUGAUGGUGAGGGCCGGAGGAGCCACGGCAAUGGCACAUGGUUCUCCUGACAAAUAACCAGCCCCUAAUGGAUAGAGAAGAUAUAGUAAUGCUUUGAAUGCCUCACCAUGUCAUUGGUCGACCUUGACCCUGAUAGCAUACAACUCUGGAGAACCGGCGACAUGUAUUGUAAAAUAUUAAGAUUGUUUUUCGAGUUAUUUAUCUUUUAAUGAGAUGAACAGAGAGCAUCAGUCCAUUGAGAAGUUGUAAGUUUGAGAGUAUUAUGUAUUGUGCUAGAAACGAAGCACACCAUGACGUAUUGUUAGCCAUACUUUGAUUUGUUAAGAUCAAAAUUUAUGUACUUAUUAUGAUAGUGAAUUCUCUUCAAAAUGUAUAAUUUCAAAAACAAAAGUAAAAAAUGUGAAGACAUGACUAAUGUGUGUGUCUACAUGAUUUGUAGUUCCGAACAAUAUUUAUGGAUUUUACAUUUAUGCAUUCUACCAGUAAUCAAUUUUCAAGUUUCAUGAUCAAAUACUACCUCCAUUUCACAGAAUAAAAGUUUUAGGGCAAAAAAUUAGUUUCACAAAAAUAUAAUUUCAUUGAAUUUAUAAAUUUUAUGUCUUAAUUUUUAUUUACUUUUUUUCUUUCGUCAUCUUUCAUUUUCAUCAUAUUUAUUUUGAUUUUUAGAAUUUUCAUUUAUUAUUAGCUUUUUUAAAGUACGAAAAAAAUCAAAAUACAUGUUUUUAUAAUAGUAAAUUGUAAAAAAAAAAUUAAAAAGUGCACUAAAUUAUUAUUUUCUUAAUUUUACUGAACAUUGAUAAUAAUAGAAAAUUAUGCAAUUCAAUUUUUUAUAUAUGUAUGAACAAUAAAAAAAUUAUCUUUGUGGACGAAAUUUUUUUUUUGGAUUUAUUACAAAUUCACAAUGAUAAUAUACGCAAAUAAGAUUGACUUUCCCUACAAAGAAAUCAACACAUAUGAGAGCAAAUCUAAUUUGAUAAGAUUUCGCCAAAUAAGUAAAGCAAAUCAAUAACUAACAAUUUAGUCUUCUCGAAAGCUAACUAUAUUUAAAUUAAUAUGAUUUUAAAUAAGUUUUACAUUUAAAAAAAAAUCACUAAACAAUGAGUCAAAAACAGUCAUCAAACAAGAAUAUCUUUCAUUCUUUUUUGACGCGGAAUUACAUAUAGAAAUAUGUAAAAUUUUCUCUUUAAACCUGUUAUUUUUUUCUCCAGAUUCCUGUGAAGUUCAUGAAACCCAACAACCUUUGCUACAGAGUCACGGACACCAACUAAUGCUACGACAAAAGACAAAACAGAAGUAUAAAACUAAUAACCCAAACAAAAUCAAAUUAUAAAAUGUCCAGUGGACUGUGGAUCAAAUCAAAUGAUAAAAGGUACAUAAUAAUUUAAAAAUCUUCUCCAUUAAAAUUAGAUAUUAUACCAAAAAAGAAAAAAUUAUAGCUAAUCUUAAAAUAAUUACUAAAAAACUGAAAAAGUUACAGACAUACACUUGUCUCGCUGUUAUAAAAGUACAUACCACAAAACAGCGAAGAAGAAGCAAACGAAUCAUUUCAACAAUGAUUAAAACACAUACCCUUGUCUCUCUUCUUCUCUCUCUCUUCUUCUUCUACUCUCUCCCUUUGUCCUCACUCGCUGCACCUCCCUCUUCGUCCUCCGUCUACGAAUCCUUCGUUCAAUGUUUCUCCGACAAGACUAAAACACCACAAGCCCAAAUCGCCAAAAACGUCUUCUCUCAGACAAACCCUUCCUACUCCUCCGUCCUCCGAGCAUACAUCCGAAACGCGAGGUUCAACACUUCCUCCACUCCCAAACCGACGAUCAUCGUCACUCCUCGCUCAUAUAGCCACGUCAGCGCCGCCGUCCUCUGCUCGAAGCCCUUAAACUUCGUCUUCAAGAUCCGAAGCGGAGGGCACGACUACGAUGGUCUCUCUUACAUCUCCGACAAACCGUUUUUCAUCCUCGACAUGUCGAAUCUCCGCGACGUAACGGUUAACAUCACCGAUCAGACGGCGUGGAUCUCCGCCGGAGCCACUCUCGGCGAGGUUUACUACGGGAUUUGGCGGGAAAGCAAAGUCCAUGGGUUCCCCGCCGGAGUUUGUCCGACGGUUGGCGUCGGCGGUCACUUAAGCGGCGGCGGGUACGGUAACAUGGUGAGGAAGUACGGUUUGUCGGUGGACUACGUGGAGGAUGCCAAGAUCGUCGACGUGAAAGGUCGUGUUUUGGAUAGAAAAGCGAUGGGUGAGGAUCUUUUCUGGGCGAUCUCCGGCGGAGGAGGAGGCAGCUUCGGCGUCGUUUUGGGGUACAAGGUCAAGCUCGUUCCUGUACCGUCGACGGUUACGGUGUUCAGAGUGGAGCAGUAUAUGGACUCCGGAGCGGUGGACAUGGUUCACAAGUGGCAGUUCGUUGGUCCGAAAACCGACAAGAACCUCUUCAUGAGGAUGCUGAUUCAACCUACUACGAGGAAUAAGGUGAAGACGGUGAGAGCUUCGGUGGUUGCUCUUUUCUUAGGCGGGGCAGACGACGUCGUUUCACUUCUUGCUAAGGAGUUCCCUGAGCUGGGGCUCAAGAAGGAGG
rnacentral:lncRNA from 1 species